UGGGCGCGUCUCCACUGCCUGUACCUGAGGCGCAAGCGUCCGCGCAGCGAGAGCUCUGGUCAGGCCGCUUCGGAGGACGAGCAUGGCGCGGCUGCGAGCACUGGGAGGCACAGCUAGUCGGUUCGGAUCUACAGAAGGAAGCAGAAGAGCUGGAUCCAGUGCUGUCCCAACUGAAUAGGAGGCCAGUAGCUCUACAUGUAAACUUCAGAGGCCUGUAUUUUGGUGACAUCCAUGGCUAAGUACCUGAGUGCUGUCUUCCACAGCCACUAGAUGGUGAAUCCAGAGAGACAGACCUGCUCAGCAGGGUGGACAGCAAAGGACUGAAAACUCACACAGCAGCAGUU